rnacentral:rRNA from 1 species
GGGUUCCCCUAGUAACGGCGAGUGAAGCGGGAAGAGCUCAAGCUUAAAAUCUCUGUCACAAAUUUAUUUUGUGCGGCGAAUUGUAGUCUAUGGAGGCGUGAUCAGUGUAGGUACUUGAGAUAAGUUUCUUGAAAAAGAACAGCAUGGAGGGUGAAACUCCCGUUCAUACUUAAGUGGCUUGCAUGUACGAUCCGUUUUCUUUGAGUCGCGUUGUUUGAGAAUGCAGCGCAAAGUAGGUGGUAAAUUCCAUCUAAAGCUAAAUAUUGGUGCGAGACCGAUAGCGAACAAGUACCGUGAGGGAAAGAUGAAAAGAACUCUGAAAAGAGAGUUAAAGAGUACCUGAAACUGCUGAAAGGGAACCGAAUCGUUUCUAGUGUCUAUAAUCUAUGACAUAUUCCAUUGGGAAGUGUGUGCGUGUGUAUACUAUGGCAGCGGCUUUUUUUUAGUUGCGCUUGGUGUGCGUGCUGUAUGUGCUUUCUGGUGCCCUGUGUUAUAGUGUGACGUCAAGGUCAGUUUGUAUGCUGCGGGAAAUGGCUACUAGGGAGGUAGGGCUCGCGCUUGCGCUUGUCUAUUAUAUCUUGGUAGUUGUGUCGUGGUUGAGACUGAGGUGUUCUACAACGUGCUUAUGAGUGGGUCUGUGUCUCCGUGUGCGCCGUGUGCAGAUAGCUUGCUAUGUGUGUGUGGUGGUGUGUGGAUUGAUGUGGGCUUUAACUUGUCGCCGUUCGGGACUUUGACGAAAUAGAGCGAUUUGACCCGUCUUGAAACACGGACCAAGGAGUCUAACAUAUGUGCAAGUGUUAGGGUGUGGAAACCCCAGCGCGAAAUGAAAGUAAAGGAUACUGAAAAGUAUCUGAGGUAGGAAAUGCUAUGGACUUCUGUUUAUGGUGUGGCACUAUCGACCGAUCAUGAACCCUCGUGGUGAAAGAUUUGAGUUUGAGCACAUAUGUUGGUACCCGAAAGAUGGUGAACUAUGCCUGAGUAGGGUGAAGCCAG